AAAGAUUGGUACACGGAGAAAGGAGAGAGAGAUCAACAGAAAAGAGAGAGAAACAGAGAGACAGAGAUAGAGAGAAGGGCGCCACCCAGAUCUUCUACCAUCACCAUAUCCCCAAUCAAAAGUUCAAACUCACUCUAAUUUCAGUUUCUCCUCCUAUGAAUACUCUCUCUUUUCGCUCCCUUUUAAAUUUUCUUAACACCAAAGCUUGCGAUGCGGAGAUAGAGAAGGAGGAAAAAAAAACCUUGCGAUACAGAGAUGAGAAGGAGACAGAAUUCGUACGCACCACCGUCCGUUCCCCUGCCAAAAUUAUACCACCAAAACCGGCACCGGUAACCUAAAGGUACAUGCAGGAAUUGAGAUACGGACAUAGAGAGAACUACCAUCGGGUUAUAUAUGAUUUAGGUUUGGAGAGGGCAAAGACAGAGAAAUAAGAGAAAACGUGAGUUCGUUAUUCAGAAAGAGCAUUAGUAACCAGAGAAAUCAGACAUCUUCCUAUCAGAAUGCCAGAAACCUUUAUCGUUGAAAGGCAGAAAUUUGAGACUAUAAAGCACAGAUAGAGUGACAUCUGAACCUCCGCCAGUCAGACUACUGGAAUCGUUACUGGUAAAGUUCUGAUUAUAUUCCUAUUUAAAUACAAUAUCCUGCUUCUAGCCAAAUUGUUUUUGUCUGCUACCGUCCAUACACCAAUCUUCCUCUCUCCAAUUUAUCCUAUCUGACCCUCUUCAGAAAUUUUAAAUAUUUACUAUCGAGUAUCACCAAAUGCAUUCAAUGAUGACAAGCACUGGACUUCUCAAUGACACAUCAAAGAUAUUCAGUGACUCAAUAUUGUUUCACCAAGCAGGAAAUGAUGCAACCCAAACUAACAUGGCUUAAAUCGCAUCAGGAUUGAAAGCUUGAACAACCAAGGCUAGAUUGAAUGCAACCCCUGGCAGUGCCUCAAGAUUGGGAGCAACACCAUAAACGUUUUUUUUUUUGCUUCAUCCUGAUGCCAAACUCAAGAUUUAAUGUCAAAAUCAAAGUUUGAGAGGGAAUUUGCAGCUUGAAAGUGGAUGGAUUAAUUUCAUUUUGUACGUUAAUAGCAAUUUCCCAUUUUGAUUUGCAAGGACAUUCUCACAAAUUUAGAGACUACUAUGCCCCUCUUGGCAGAUAUGUUCUGAGUAACCUACUUACAAUGAACAUAAAGCAUAAUAUUAAAUUUGUAUCAACAAAAAUGGUGUCCUCACACACUAUAAAUAAAAGAAACAGAGGAAACAUAAAUUUUUUAUAGUUAUAUUUUUUUCAGCUUCUUUCAUUCCUGUUGUAACAGAGACAGAACUAAGUAAAACAUGCAAAAGGUUAAAUUUUAUUUGAAUAUUCAUGUUUUAUCAAUAA